GAUGAACGCUGGCGGCGUGCCUAAUACAUGCAAGUCGAGCGAACAGAUGAGGAGCUUGCUCCUCUGACGUUAGCGGCGGACGGGUGAGUAACACGUGGAUAACCUACCUAUAAGACUGGGAUAACUUCGGGAAACCGGAGCUAAUACCGGAUAAUAUAUUGAACCGCAUGGUUCAAUAGUGAAAGACGGUUUUGCUGUCACUUAUAGAUGGAUCCGCGCCGCAUUAGCUAGUUGGUAAGGUAACGGCUUACCAAGGCAACGAUGCGUAGCCGACCUGAGAGGGUGGUGGCCCACAUGGGAGGGGGAACGGCGCCAUUGCUCCUGCGAGAGGGAGCAGUAGGGUAUCGGCCGCAGUGGGGGAGAGUAUGGCAGAACGGGCGGGAGUGGGUUGGAGGAACUUCGGGUGCGGAAAACUGUUUUAUGGGGAAAAAACAGAUUUGGAAGGAAAUGGACAGGUAGUGACGGUACUGAAUAAAAAAGCCCCGGCUAACUACGUG
rnacentral:rRNA from 1 species